rnacentral:lncRNA from 1 species
UGAGUUCAACCAACUCAGUGAGGGAAUAAUAAUUAAUAUACAUUUUAGAUAUUCUUGAUAUUAAUAGUUCGCAAGAUCCUUUAUCUUGAUAUACAUAUACAUAUACAUACUGAACAUAUCAUAUACAUAUCAUAUACAUACUAAACAUAUCAUCAUAACGUAGUGGACUAUAUGUCAGAGAUCAGAUGACACCCGAAGGUGACCAGAUGACACCCGAAGGUGACCAGACCAGAUGACACCCGAAGGUGACCACUGUGGGAUGAUCAGUCGCCACAGGCUGAUGCCUCUCUCACCAGCUAGGUUUACAGAAUACUAUGUGCACAUAGGCUAACUACUCUCCGUUAGCAUGGAGUUACUGACAAGUCCCAUAUCAAGGCAUAAUAGAUAUUCACAUAAUCAUCAAAGAAACGUAUAUCAUAUCAAAUAGAAUUUACUUUGACAGAUUGCGAGUGCAAAUUCAAGAAUAAAUGAGUACUCGGAAAAUAAGCAACAUAUAUAAUUAUUCAAGAAAUUAACGAGUUGUACUCAUUAUAAAAUCAACAUACAUAUUUACUUAUCAUAUAUGCAUAUUAAAGAUUAUCCCACUCACCCGGAAAAUAUAGAACUAAAAGGAAUGUCAGACGAAAGACCCGAAAAUCAUAUUGAGGAUCGUUAGGAGAACCUACAACAAUAUGAAAAUAUACUCAAAAGCAACUCAAACAAGAGAUCCCAAUGCAUAAAAUAAAACCAGGUUUAGUCUCCUAAGUUUAUGGACUAAAACGAUAAUUUUCCAAAACAGGGACCAAAACGUAAUUUUACCAAAAUUGGACCAAUCUGGAAAAUACAUAACUAUACUGAAUUUUCACCCAUAAACCAUCCUUAAUUCUGUCUAGAACGAACCAGGGACCGAACUGUAAUUUUCAUAAAGUUCAGGGACUAAAAUGUAAAUUCCUAAAAUUGAGGGACCAAACUGAAAAUAUUCCAAAUCAAUUAUCAAACUCAGAUUCAUCAUCCUUAACCUCAUAAUAACACUGUCCAGAAUCUCAAAAUACAAUUAGGGGUCAAAUUAUAAUUUUCCCAAAGUUUAGGGACUAAACUGUAAUUUCACAAAUUGAGGGACCAAAUUGAAUUUUCGUCAUCUUCAACCUCAAACCCAGAAUUUUACAGAUUAGCUACUGUCAUCUCCUGAUUUCUAACACAAUUUCACCAUUCAAAUAAAAUCAUAACUCAAAAUCAUCAUCUUUACCUUCAAUCUCUCACAAUCAACUAAUUAACCAAUUACCCACAACAAUCAACCCAUAACCUUCCAAUUAAUUCAUCAAUCAAACUCAAAACACAAUAUUCAAAACCCUAACAUUUAUCAAAACAGAAAUCAAGGCUUAAAGAACACACAUUUAUACAUAAUCUUACCUUUAAACUUAUUUCCUCCAAUUCUCUUCUCCUUUCCUUAUUUUUCCCUCUUUUCUCUUCUUCCUCCCCUUUUCUUCUCUUCUCCCGUCAGUUUUCACUCUUAAAACACAGCCCUCUUCUUCUAUUUUCUUUUCUAUUUAUAUUUAUCAACUCUUUGUUCAAUUACUACAAUACCCCUUAUUCAUUUAUACUCAUUUUUAGCCUUCAAGGGCUUUAUUGCCUUUUACCCACUCAUUAAAUUUCAAAACAUCACAAUCUCCCCACCUUAUAAAAGUUUCGUCCUCGAAACUUAAACUUUAAGAAAUGAAGUCUUACCAUCAAGUUCAAACAAGAAUGGAUACUUGUUGAGCAUUUCCUCCUCAAGCUCCCACGUCGCUUCUUCACGUGGGUGUCCGCUCCACACAACCUUAACCGAUGCGAUAUCCUUCGACCGAAGUUUUCUAACUUGUCGAUCCACUAUUUUUAUUGGUUGAACUUCGUAUGUCAUAACUUUCCUCAGCUCAACCGGUUGUACUUCCAGCACAUGAGAUGGAUCAGACAAAUACUUCCUCAACAUCGAAACAUGGAACACUGGAUGUAUAGAGGAGAGAUUAGGUGGUAAGGCAAGCCGAUAUGUCACUACCCCUACUCUUUCCAAGAUCUCAAAGGGCCCUAUAAACCUAGGACUCAACUUUUCUUUCUUCCCAAAUCUGAAUAUCCCUUUAGUCGGAGAGACUUUUAGGAAUACGUUGUCACCCACUGAAAAUUCUAGAUUACAUCUUCUCUUAUCCGCAUAAUUCUUUUGCCUACUCUGAGCUGUUUGAAGCUUAUCUCGGAUCACCUUAAUCUUAUCCGAAGUAAUCUGUAUUAACUCGGGACCCAUUAAUCUCCUCUCACCAACCUCAUACCAACAUACAGGUGAUCUACACUUCCGGCCAUACAAGGCCUCAUAUGGGGCCAUAUCAAUGCUCGCUUGAUAACUAUUAUUAUAUGCAAACUCCACCAAAGAUAAGUACUUGCUCCAUCCGACACCAAAGUCAAUCACACAAGCUCUUAACAUAUCCUCCAAAAUUUGUAUAGUCCUCUCAGAUUGUCCAUCUGUCUGAGGAUGAAAGGCAGUACUUAACUGAAUGUUAGUCCCCAAAGCUUCCUGAAACUUCACCCAAAACCGAGAAGUGAAUUGUGGACCUCUGUUGGACACAAUUGAGAUCGGCACACCAUGCAACCUUACGAUCUCGUUAACAUAGAUUUCUGCAAGUUUUGCAAACCCAUAUGUCACCUUUACUGGCAAGAAAUGAGCUGACUUGGUCAAACGAUCAACUAUUACCCAAACCGAAUCAUAACCCUCCUGGCUCCGAGGCAAACCUGACACAAAGUCCAUGGUGAUCCUCUCCCAUUUCCAUUCAGGAAUUAACAAUGGCUGCAAAAGCCCUGGUGGUUUCUGAUGCUCACCUUUAACCCUCUGACAGGUCAAGCAUCGAGAUACAAAUUCAGCAAUGUCCCUCUUCAUGCCAUUCCACCAAUAGCACUCUUUCAAGUCUCUAUACAUCUUGUUAGAACCAGGAUGUAUAGUAUAGGCAGUUUGGUGUGCUUCCGUCAUCACAUCUCUUUUCAAAUCAUCCACCUCAGGCACACAUAACCUGGAACCAAAUCUCAACACACCAUCUUCAUGGAUAACAAAACCCGGAGCUCUCCCUAACUCCAACUCAUCUCGAAUCUUGCAAAGUCGCUCAUCCUUCAUUUGAGCUACUUUAAUCCGGUCUACCAAGUCUGACUUGGCCUGAAAGUGAGCCAACAAUGCUCCCGAUUCACAAAUCUCAAAACUGACUCUCUCAUCUAACAAUCCGUGUAACUCUUUAAUCAAGGGUCUCCUCACCUCCUAAAUAUGAGCCAAACUACCCAUAGAUUUUCUGCUUAAGGCAUCGACAACAACAUUUACCUUGCCCGGGUGAUAUUGAAUCGUGCAAUCAUAAUCACUUAACAAUUCCAUCCACCUUCUCUGUCUCAAAUUCAGAUCCUUCUGCUGGAAGAUAUAUUGAAGACUCUUAUGAUCUGAAAAUAUCUCACAUGUCUCCCCAUACAAAUAGUGUCUCCAAAUCUUAAGGGCAAACACUACUGCAGCCAUCUCCAAAUCAUGUGUGGGGUAAUUUUGCUCGUGCUUCUUCAACUUUCUCGAGGCAGGAGCAAUCACAUUACCAUUCUGCAUCAAAACACAACCCAAACCAAUCCUGGAUGCAUCACAGUACACGGUAAAACCACCAGACCCUGAAGGUACUGUCAAAAUUGGAGCCGUAAUUAACCUUUCCUUCAACUCCAGGAAACUCUUCUCACAUUCUUUUGACCAUUGAAACUUGACACUUUUCUGUGUCAACUUCGUCAACGGAGCAGAGAUUCGGGAAAAAUUCUCCACGAAUCUCCUGUAGUAUCCUGCUAAACCCAGGAAACUCCUAAUCUCAGAUACCGUGACUGGUCUAGGCCACUGUUUAACUGCCUCCACUUUCUGUGGAUCAACCUCUAUCCCAUUUUUGGACACCACAUGUCCCAAAAACCCAACACUCUCUAACCAAAACUCACUCUUCGAGAACUUUCCAUACAACUGAUGAUCUCUUAGAGUUUGAAGCACCAAUCUCAAAUGCUCUUCAUGUUCCUCUUUACUUCUUGAAUACACCAAGAUGUCAUCAAUGAACACAAUAACAAACUUAUCAAUAAACAGCCUAAAAACCCUGUUCAUCAUGUCCAUAAAAGCCACAGGUGCAUUCGUUAACCCAAAAGACAACACUAGGAACUCGUAAUGCCCAUAACGAGUCCUAAAGGCAGUUUUAGGAAUAUCCUCAUUCCUAAUCCUCAACUGGUGAUACCCCGAUCGCAAAUCAAUCUUUGAGAAACAUUGAGCUCCUUGUAAUUGAUCAAAAAGAUCAUCAAUGCGAGGGAGUGGGUAUCUAUUUUUAACAGUGACCUUGUUCAAUUGUCUAUAGUUUAUACACAUCCUCAUUGAUCCAUCCUUCUUCUUUACAAAUAAAACAGGUGCUCCCCACGGAGACACACUUGGACGAAUAAACCCUUUAUCUAACAAAUCUUGAAUCUGCUCCUUCAACUCUUUUAAUUCUGCUGGCGCCAUCCUGUAAGGUGCCAUAGAGAUUGUUUUGUUCCUGAAACUAGAUCAAUACAGAAUUCGAUUUCCCUAUUGGAAGGUAGUCCAGGUAAGUCAUCGGGAAAAACAUCGAUGAAUUCUUUAAGUAUCGAAACUUGUUCCAUCCUCGGGACCCCCAUGUUCAUAUCAUGCACAUAAGCCAAAAACCCUUGCAUACCCUUUCGUACCAUCCUUCUCGUGAUGGCCGAGAGAAUACUAGAUGGAGAUGAUAACCCAUCUCCAUGAAAAGCAAACUCCGUCUCCUCAUCAGGCUUGAAAAUCACUGUCUUAUUCCAACAAUCAACUGAGGCAUGGUGCCUUGAUAACCAAUCCAUACCUAAUAUCACAUCAAAACCUACUAUUUCUAAAAUUACCAAAUCGCCUAAUAGGUUUCUACCUUGCACUUGAACCUCACAAUCAACAUAAACAUAUUCCCCAAACAUAACCUCAUCCGAAGGGAUAGCUACACACAAAGGACUCUCUAACAAAAUGGGUUGUUUAGUAAACCUUAAAGCAAAAUAUGACGACACGAAAGAAUGAGUUGCCCCCGUGUCAAAUAACACUCUAGCCUCGAAGGAACAUAUUAAGAGUGUACCUGAGACAACAAUAUUGGAUGUCUGGGCAUCUUGCUGAGUAAUGGCAAAAACUCGUGCCUGUCCCUGACUUGCUGGCGCAAAACCUCUACCGCCUACUCCACGGCCCCGCUGGCCGCGCCCACCAGCUCCACGACCACCCUGAAACACAGAAUGGCUAGCUGAUUGAGUCUGAGUAGGAGAUGUAAUCGGUGAAGCACCAGGUUUGGACCACCACUUGUUCGGACAAUCCCUCAAUAAGUGAUCAGUCUGCCCGCAACCGAAACAAGCUCCUGUCUGCCUAUAACAGACUGUGCCAUAAUGCCUAGACCCACAAGACGGACAUUGAGGCCUCCCAUCUGAACCUUGUGGUGUUAACUGAACAGUACCUCGGCUCUGAGUCGGACCAGCUCCACUCAUACUAUGUCUAUUGUUUCCCCUGAGAAUAGACCUCGACAAGAAAUUCCUUGACUGAUUUAAUUGGCCCUGCCGGCCCCCAUGUCCCCUGCUAGGACCUGUAUCAGACCGCUGCUGAAAAGAGAACUGAUUUGCCACUUUGGGCCUCUUAACCGAACCCACUGAUAAUUCAUCCUCUAACUCUCGUGCCUCAAUAGCUCGGGCACGAUCCACUAUGGCCGAGUACGUCUUAAACUCAUGAGCCCCAAUAGCUUUGAAUAAGUAGCUAUUAAGACCUCGAACAAACCUCUUAAUCUUCCUCUCCUCAGUCGGUACCAAAUACCCAGCAAAUCUGGACAACCGUGUGAAUUCCACUUCAUACUCUGUCACACUCAAGUCACCCUGAACCAACUUUUCAAACUCAUAUGAUCUGGCUUCCCUCACACUUUCAGGUAGAAAACGUUCCAAAAACAUCUCAGAAAAUUCCUUCCACUCCAUCGGUGGCGAACUAACUGCCCUUUCACCCCUCUUGGACUCAUACCAGUUCACAGCCACCUCUCCUUCUAGCCUGAAAGAUGCUAAAGUCACUGCACGAUGAUCCGUGCAACCCAUGGCCUCACACCUACGCCAUACUGCAUCUAAAAACUGUUGUGGUUCCUCAGAGUUAUCAACACCCUUAAAUGUAGGAGGUGCCAGCUUAAGGAACUCUGACAAUGGCACUUUCACCCCAUGCACAGUAUGGGAAGUUGAAGAUGCAUUCUUAUCCUUCUCCUUCUCUCUCUCAGUUAAAAGGUCAGCCAGGGUCUGCAUGGCUUGUCCAAUCUUAUCCAAAGCACUAUCAGUAUAAGACACCCUAUCAUGGGAUUCCUGCUCCUGAUUCUUACCAACAUCCAGACCAUAGUCUCCCUCAAACUCCACCUCAUCCUGAACUUCUGCUUCCAUUGGUUGAGGCGAAAGGGUUCUAACCCUCUUUUUGCGCCACUCCUUCCUAAGCUGAGCGAUAGGAAUGUCCUCUUGAUCAUUACCGACAUAAUCGGCAUUAACUACAUGUUUAGCUCUCGGCAUAUUUCCUAAAAAAAAUGCAUUUAUAUAUAUGUAUCAACAUAAAAGGAGUUUUAAGGAGGACACACCAAACACUAGAUUGGAGAAUUAUAAGAGGACUGACAUCAAGACAAGAUAGAUCUUAAGCUCCACAUAUUACGAGGGUUUUAAAUAAAUAAAACAGAUUAUGAGGUUUUAAUAAAAAACCUGGCUCUGAUACCACCUUUGUCACGACCCGAAUCCCGGGUCCAUGACCGGCAACGCAGGAGCGGUGCCGGAAGGACACCCCGCCCGCGCUAAGCCUCAAAACGGACAUAUCAAAAGAAUAAUUUAUUCAAAAAUACGCAGCAUUUCAUAAUCUUCAGAAAUCUUAUAUUAUUCAAAACUGAUGAAACCAAAAGAUAGUUUAAAACUCCUCAUCAGUAAUUAAAACAAAAACAAUAAUCCAUAAUACUCAUUACAUUGUCAAAAUCCAAACUUAAUCAAAACAAGGUAAUAGUGGAGCGCCUAAGACAUCGAAUCAAACAGCCUUGAAAGAUAAGCAAGGCAUACUGACCCAAAACUGAAGAAGCAGGAACACUCAACAAGGUUCACCUGCUAUCAGAAACUAAGAACCUGAAAUAAUAUUAAGAAUGAGGUGUGAGUUCAACCAACUCAGUGAGGGAAUAAUAAUUAAUAUACAUUUUAGAUAUUCUUGAUAUUAAUAGUUCGCAAGAUCCUUUAUCUUGAUAUACAUAUACAUAUACAUACUGAACAUAUCAUAUACAUAUCAUAUACAUACUAAACAUAUCAUCAUAACGUAGUGGACUAUAUGUCAGAGAUCAGAUGACACCCGAAGGUGACCAGAUGACACCCGAAGGUGACCAGACCAGAUGACACCCGAAGGUGACCACUGUGGGAUGAUCAGUCGCCACAGGCUGAUGCCUCUCUCACCAGCUAGGUUUACAGAAUACUAUGUGCACAUAGGCUAACUACUCUCCGUUAGCAUGGAGUUACUGACAAGUCCCAUAUCAAGGCAUAAUAGAUAUUCACAUAAUCAUCAAAGAAACGUAUAUCAUAUCAAAUAGAAUUUACUUUGACAGAUUGCGAGUGCAAAUUCAAGAAUAAAUGAGUACUCGGAAAAUAAGCAACAUAUAUAAUUAUUCAAGAAAUUAACGAGUUGUACUCAUU